AUUGAACGCUGGCGGCAGGCCUAACACAUGCAAGUCGAGCGGAGCGGCGGACUGGUUAGUAAUGCCUAGGAAUCUGCCUGGUAGUGGGGGAUAACGUCCGGGAACAGGCGCUAAUACCGCAUACUAACAAUUCAGCCUAGGUCGGAUUAGCUAGUUGGUGGUGUAAAGGCCUACCAGGGCGACGAUCCGUAACUGGUCUGAGAGGAGGAUCACUAACACGGGAACGGAGAACCGGUCCAGAGCCUUAGGGGAGGAAGAAGUGGGGAAUAUUGGACAAUGGGCGAAAGCCUGAUGCAGAAAUGCGGCGGGUGGGAAGAAGGUCUUCGGAUUGUAAGGCACUUUAAGUAGGGAGGCGGUACCAAAAGAAAAAGCAACGGCUAACUACGUGCCAGCAGCCGCGGUAAUAC
rnacentral:rRNA from 1 species